GUCAUGGGGACAUGCUGUCAGAUUUGCUCUUGGUGUGGCCAAUUAAAAAAAGUAUGAGCUCAUUUGCUGGCCAGUGCAGAGAGCCGGUCUGUGGAGGCUGUCCGGGCUAAGCAGCAGCAGAUAAAAGAGCGGCUCCCCCUGGUCAAGCCCGAGCACGUCCAAGGACAGCUGAAGGCGAUGCUUGUUUGUGCGCCGCUCCAAAAGUGUUUCACAUUUCACACAUCCAGAGCACUUUUCUUCCCCUGCUCCUCAGACUCUCCCUCAGACAGCCAUCUGCCAUGCUCCAGUGCAGUUUUUCUGCUCUGUGCAACAAAGGCCUGGAAACUUCAGAGGUGGGACCAAGUCGAUGUUUUGUAAGUCUCAACACUUUUCAUGCAGCACACCUGUAAACACCAGGGAGGAGACGCACUGAUGCACAGGGGAUGCACGGAAGCCGGACAGCAGGGCAGCAGAGGAGCAGGAGAUUGGAGCAGAGAUGAGGCAGAGAUCCCCGCCAUUCCGUGGGAGUAAUGUGAAUUGUAGUAAUACUUGUCGGGAAAUAGCUUAGGGCUAUCGCAGUUGACGGGGUGCACACUGUCGUUUGUUUGUUGUUGAUCCGAGUAGGUUUCUCAUCGUGCCGAAGCCAGCUGAGUGAAGGAUCGGGAAGAAGUAUAAGUAUUUAAGUAUUGUAGCAACACUCCACCAACGCACCCUAAGGCCUGGAUGUCGCGUACUCUCUCGUGCCGCCCGAGGGGGAUGUCACUGGACCAACAAUCGAGCUGCCAAAGGAAUAUCUGCACUGCACUUUCCCCUGCACUGGUGCUUUUAAGGAACUUUUAACAAUUUUUUAUAUUUGUU